GCCCCGCCCCCAGCAGUCUGACCACUGCUGAUAACCCCCCCCCGUUUAUCACACAGACAGACAGUCAGACAGGGAGAGAGACAGACAGACAGACAGACAGACAGGGAGAGAGACAGACAGACAGACAGUUAGUGAGACAGACAGGGAGAGAGACAGGGAGAGAGACAGACAGACAGACAGUGAGACAGACAGUCAGACAGGGAGAGAGACAGACAGAAGGUCAGGGGUCACUGUGUGGAUCAAAACAAAUGCUGAGGAUGAAGAGAAAACUGUCUGCCUGCCUGUCUGUCUGUCUGUCUGUCUGUCUGUCUCUGUCUCUCUCUGUCUGUCUGUCUCUCCCUGUCUGUCUGUCUGUCUGUCUGUCUGUCUCUCUCUCUGUCUCUGUCUCUCUGCCAGUCUGUCUGCCUGUCUGUCUGUAUUUUUAUACAGAAAUCAUUUAAAACGUUGAAGUUUAAAUCAUCUGUUUGUCUAUUUAUUGAUUUCUUAUUGAUUUUCUCUCAUAUUGAUGAUGCAGAGUCUGAAGUGACCAAUAUUAAACUGUAAUUACUGUUUAAUGUUCAGAGUAAUAAAUAAAACUAAUCAUCAGUGAAUAAUUAAUUCAUAUUGUACGAAUCAACCAGACUGAACUGCUGCUGUUCUUUCUUUCUUUCUACUUCAGUUAUUAUUGAUGAUUAUUAUUGGUUAUUGACUAUUAUUGUUGGUUAUUAAAGAUGAUUUGUUCUUAAAAUAUUGUUUUGUUAAUAAGAUAUAAAUAAUAAAAGCAGUUUGUCUCACCUGAGAUCAGUUUCCUGUCAGCAGCAGCAAAAACUGUCAGACUGAAGAACUGAGAGACAAAGUUCAACUGCUAUCGUCCAAUCAGAGACUCCGCCCCACACACACACACACACACACACACACACACACACACACACACACACAGUAACACAGUAACACACACACACACACACACACACACACACACACACACACACACAUAUACACACACACUACAUAUAUUAUAUAUAUUCUUUAUAUAAUGCAGUUUAUUGUUUGUUUAUUUUUAUGUGUGUGUUGAUUUCUGCUGCCCUCUGCUGGUUGCAUGAGGUCUCACCUUGGUGUCGUGGUCCAGACUGUAACAAAGAACCUGCCAGGGGGGCGUGUACCUGAACAUCCUGGUCCUACUGAUCCCUACUGGUCCUACUGGUCCUACUGGAUCUGACUGGUCCUACUGGUCCUACUGGUCCUACUGGAUCUGACUGGUCCUACUGGUCCCUACUGGUCCCUACUGGUCCUACUGGUGAUGAUGAUGUCAGUCAGACCCUCAGCCAGCAGGAACCAAUCAGCAUCCACCCUGCAGAGACAAGAGGACGUGUUUAAGUCCUGAAUUAUGUAACCUUUGUUGUUGUUGUGGCAUCCAAUCAGAAAUCAAACUGUGAGAAUAUCAUAACUCAUUUUAUUGUUGUUGUUGUUGUUGUUGUUGUUGUUGUUGUUGUUAACACUGUAAUGACAGUUUAACAAUAAACAGAAAGUUUAAUUUAUAUGUUUACAUGUUUACAUGUUUUAAUGUCAAUCUGUACUUUCAUACAAACAUGUUUAUUUUAAAUAAAGUAAAAACAAACGCAAA